CGUGUCUCCCUGAUCCUCCGUAUGGAAAACAUGUCGAGGGCUUCGGGUCGGGUGGUUUGACGAGCAAUGAGAUCGCGCUGGUGGGGAGGCACCUCACGGUAAUGGCGGGCGCGGCAGAGCGGCGCUGGAUGCCGAUGGUGAGUUCCUAUUGGAUCCAGUUGACCGGUUCCCACUCAGGGAAGAGUUGGCCGACAGCUUGGAGCAGCCAAAUCCGGACACUCUAGGGUUCCUCCGACCAUCCAUGGCCAUUGGGCUGCAUCGCCGCCGAUGCCGUUGCCACCGCCCCGUCGCCGUCGACCCCGACACCACCGCUGCUCUCUACAUCUCAGUCUCGCCGGGGCCCCUCUCUGCCUUGGUCCCCUCUACUGGACAGCUGCUCGGCGGUGUCGUCUUUCUCCUGUACUGGUUGGCGGCAUCUCGUUCUCCGGCACCAACAAGUCCAUGGCCCCAUGGUUCUGCACGAAAUCUCUAGUCCGGCAGCCUCCAUCAGACACCACGGGCUUCUUUACUUCAAGGCAUGUGCUACACUUCAGCUGACUGAUUUGGAGGUAUUGUGGUAUGUGAACUGGACAUCAGAAGUUG